UUGAAUCGUAGCGGAGGAUCUGGGUCACCUCCCACCCGUGUUUAUUUUACCUUGUUGCUUCGGCGGGCCCGCCUUAACUGGCCGCCGGGGGGCUCACGCCCCCGGGCCCGCGCCCGCCGAAGACACCCUCGAACUCUGUCUGAAGAUUGAAGUCUGAGUGAAAAUAUAAAUUAUUUAAAACUUUCAACAACGGAUCUCUUGGUUCCGGCAUCGAUGAAGAACGCAGCGAAAUGCGAUACGUAAUGUGAAUUGCAAAUUCAGUGAAUCAUCGAGUCUUUGAACGCACAUUGCGCCCCCUGGUAUUCCGGGGGGCAUGCCUGUCCGAGCGUCAUUGCUGCCCUCAAGCCCGGCUUGUGUGUUGGGCCCCGUCCUCCGAUCUCCGGGGGACGGGCCCGAAAGGCAGCGGCGGCACCGCGUCCGGUCCUCGAGCGUAUGGGGCUUUGUCACCCGCUCUGUAGGCCCGGCCGGCGCUUGCCGAUCAACCCAAAUUUUUAUCCAGGUUGACCUCGGAUCAGGUAGGGAUACCCGCUGAACUUAAGCAUAUCAUAA
rnacentral:rRNA from 1 species